ACUAGUUUUUCUCUCUUUAGUGCAGUUAAUGAAAGGUUCUGAAAUACGGCAUACCCAUGUAGCUAAUACUAAGGAAUAAAAUGUAUACAAAAUCUGUCUGGCACGUUUUAUGAAGAAAACGUUUCCAAAAAGUAUCGGACAUAUGACCCACUAUGUUCUGCUCCAUGUAUCCAAUGUUGACAACGUGACAUGACAUGGCUAAGCUACCAACAUAAACAAGAGGAGCUAGGAAAGGAAAUUAACUGCGUGUUCAAGUUCAGAAUGGGGCAAACGUGUGCCUACACUACACACAGCACUACAAAAAUCGUCAAGAUUGUAUUUGGUGCUGCUUAGUGUGAGAGAGAGCGAGAGAGACAGAGAGAGAGGCCUGAUUCACAAAUUAACAAAUGCCAGUGACAGUAAAGGUGUUGGCAAGCUGUAACAAAUAUGCAUUAGCAACCUUUGCUGGUUUAAGUGAAUUCACCAUCCUCUUCAGGGUAACUAGGCUUGGAGGUUUGGAGAGCGAAAGAGAAGAGCAAAUGAUUGGGAGUAGGAGAAGGGAGGUAAGGAUGAUAGUAGAAUCUCAUGUUAGCCAGGCCUGCCUCAAAAUUGGCUGUGUCGCACACACACACUUGUGUAUGUCACCAUGGGUAAAUCUUUCACAUGCACUGUAGGCCUACGAAGUGCGCAACCAUUCUCAGCACUCCAUUUUAGGAACUAUCAAUGUUGUACAUUGUAACAACAAGCCUGCAUGAAGUUUUAACUUGUCUCUCAUGAUGUUAGUGCUGCUUGUGUUAUUUCACAGUCGUCAUGAGCAAGAGGAAGCAAGAGGGUUGCAGAGACAUUCGGCAAUGUUUUGCCUCGUCUCAGAAAAGAAGCAAAGUAACUAAAGAGGGUUGACACACAACUCUACACAGCAGCGUUGCAGUUGCUAAUAUAGCAAUAUAAUAAUUAUUAAGUCAAGUUUCAUUCAAGGUUACAAAACAUUGUAUAAUGUAUGUAUUCAUAGAUUAAUCCAUAACUACCGUAAUCAGAAAACAUUUAGGUUAUGUCCUUGACAUGUCUAAUUCUUUAACAGUGCAUCAUUCAAUACGGCUAAUGGUUUCACAAUGAGAUUAGCUCAGUGCGCUCUCUCAUGAAACUCAUCUAUGUACUUAUUAAACAAGUGGAUGAAAAUAUCAGAAAAUCUAUAUUUUCUGAGGGGUAACAAAAGUUUUGGGGUGACUUCUAUUUAGGUCCAUGAGAUAGAUGCACCUGGGUGGGUUUUACUCAGCAUUGGCAAAUGUGAUGGUUAUGCAAUAAAAAAUGUAAUGGAAGUAAGAACUGGCUGGAUUUUGUGUCCUUGUUGUGGUGGUGCAGGUGUUUGUUUGUGUAUGUUUUGUAAAAAAGACAAAACAUCAAUGAAUGUAAUGUGGAAAAAAAAAAGGACUGGAUUGGUUGAAAUAUUGAGGAGCACAAAAUGUUAUAUUUAAUUUAAAAAGUAAAGGAAAACAGAGCUCUGAAGUAUAUGUGUGUCAUCCUUUUCCUAAUUUCAAGUCUUCCACACUCCCAGACUGCUUGGUCACAUCCAGUAUUAAAGUGUUUUAAACAU